GACGAACGCUGGCGGCGUGCUUAACACAUGCAAGUCGAGCGGUAAGGCCCUUUCGGGGGUACACGAGCGGCGAACGGGUGAGUAACACGUGGGUGACCUGCCCUCAGCUCUGGGAUAAGCCUGGGAAACUGGGUCUAAUACUGGAUAUGACUCCACGGUGCAUGUCGUGGGGUGGAAAGCCUUGUGCGGCUGAGGAUGGGCCCGCGGCCUAUCAGCUUGUUGGUGGGGNGAUGGCCUACCAAGGCGACGACGGGUAGCCGGCCUGAGAGGGCGACCGGCCACACUGGGACUGAGACACGGCCCAGACUCCUACGGGAGGCAACAGUGGGGAAUCUUGCGCAAUGGGCGAAAGCCUGACGCAGCGACGCCGCGUGAGGGAUGACGGCCU
rnacentral:rRNA from 1 species